rnacentral:rRNA from 1 species
UUAUAAGAGACAGCAGUCGCCGCGGGAAAACAGAGGUCUCAAGCGUUGUUCGGAUUCAUUGGGCGUAAAGGGUGCGUAGGCGGCGGGGUAAGUCAGGUGUGAAAUCUCGGGGCUCAACCCCGAAACUGCACUUGAUACUGCCUUGCUAGAGUACUGGAGAGGAGAUUGGAAUUUACGGUGUAGCAGUGAAAUGCGUAGAUAUCGUAAGGAAGACCAGUGGCGAAGGCGAAUCUCUGGACAGUUACUGACGCUGAGGCACGGAGGCCAGGGGAGCAAACGGGAUUAGAUACCCCUGUAGUCCCUGUCUCUUAUAC